UAGCUCAGUGGUAGAGCAUGUGCUUAUCAUGCACGAGGUCCUGGGUUCAAUCCCCAG
rnacentral:tRNA from 1 species